GUUCGGCGGCGGAGGUGGAAGCGGCGCUGGAGCGGCGGGAGCCGGGGCGAGAUCGGCGCCCCGGGCUGCAGAGAUACCCAGCAGCAGAUUUAGGCAGAGGCAGCAGAAAGCUGAGGCAGAGGCAGCAGAAAGCUGAGAACCUGGAGCUCAGGCAGCAGAACUGGUGGAGACAUAAAGACGGUAGGACUGUGGGCAGAACAAGAGUGGGGCUGGAUUAGGGAGCAUGGACCUGGCAUAAGUACUGCAGGGAUGGAGCUGGGAUAAAAAUAGUCAGGCCUGGCCUGGAAUGUGGGCUUGAGUGCUGGGGUGGAAAACUCAGACCUUU